CCCAAAGGACCAAACCCAACAAGCAAUUGAAAUUUGGUUUCACCACAGAGAGUUAAGAGAGAGCAGAGAAACAUGGGUUCCGAAGGAGGGGAUAACGGCAUGUUCAGUGUCACUGUGACCAAGAAGGAAGUGGUGGCGGCAGCGCUACCAUUGCAAGAACAUUGGCUACCACUUUCCAACCUAGAUUUGCUUCUCCCUCCAGUUGACGUGAGUGUUUUCUUUUGUUACAGAAACAAUAAUAACCAUAUGAUGAAGAGUUUCGGGUCCAUGGUGGGUGUUCUGAAGAAAGCAAUGGCUCAAGUUCUGGUGUCCUACUACGCCUUCGCGGGUGAGGUAGUGGAAAACUUCGUGGGAGAGCCUGAGAUCCUAUGCAACAACAGGGGUGUGGACUUUUUUGAGGCUUUUGCAGAUAUUGAUCUCAAAGACCUCAACUUGUAUAACCCCGACCACUGCAUUGAAGGCAAACUGGUGCCCAAGAAGAAGGACGGUGUGCUGGCUGCCCAGGUAACGGAACUCAAAUGCGGCGGUGUCGUGGUGGCGUGCACAUUUGAUCAUCGCGUAUCAGACGCCUACUCGGCCAACAUGUUUCUUGUGUCGUGGUCAGAAACGACUCAAUCCAGAGCGAUCUCAGUGGUUCCAUCUUUCAGGCGAUCUCUGCUGAACCCUAGACGUCCUACUUGCAUCGAUCCUUCCCUGGACAACAUGUACGUACCCAUCUCCAAGCUGCAACCUCCCAAAGAGCCUCAGGCCGAUUCUGAUCACGUCAUAAGUCGAAUAUAUUAUGUGAAAGCCGAUCAGCUUAACGAAUUACAAUCACUUGCAAGCUCCGCUGGCUACAAGAGGACAAAACUCGAAUCUUUUAGCGCUUUCUUGUGGCAACUGGUUGCCAAAUCUGCCAAACAAGAUGUUGCCGCUGGAACGGCAAAGAUUUCAAAAAUUGGCAUUGUGGUGGAUGGGAGGACGAGGUUAAGUGAUAAAAUUGUUAAUAAAGCAACAUUAAUGGAUGCCUACUUUGGAAAUGUACUAUCAAUUCCCUAUGGAGGAAAGAGAAUUGAUGAUCUAAUCGAAAAUCCAUUGAGUUGGGUAGCGAGUGAGGUCCAUGAUUUCCUGGAGAGUGGUGUGACAAAGGAGCAUUUCUUGGGGCUGAUUGACUGGGUUGAGGCUCAUAAGCCAGAGCCAGCCGUGGCUAAGAUAUACAGUAGCGGUAGUGAUGGUGGACCGGCUUUUGUGGUGUCUUCAGGGCAAAGAUUUCCGGUUUCAAAGGUGGACUUUGGGUGGGGAGCGCCUGCCUUUGGGUCGUAUCAUUUUCCUUGAGGCGGUAGCGCUGGAUAUGUCAUGCCGAUGCCAAGUCCAACCAGGAACGAUGAUUGGAUAGUGUAUAUGCACCUUUUGAAGGGGCAAAUGGAGUUGAUAGAGGCUGAGGCUGCCAAUUUUUUUAGGCCCCUCUGUUGGGAUUAUCUUAAUCUGCUUUCAUCACAUUCUAUAGUUACCCCAUAUACCAUAUAAUUUAUUUGCUCCUUAUUAAUUGAAAUUAAGAAUUAAUGCUUUGCAUUGGAUGUUGCUGUUAAUUGUAAUUACAGUUUGAUCUGCAGUUAUAUUAAUUAUCUUGCCCAUCAGUUGCUGGC
rnacentral:misc_RNA from 1 species